rfam:Dipodomys ordii contig_5598, whole genome shotgun sequence.
UGGCUCAGUGGUAGAGCACUUGCCUUGCAUGCAUGAGGCCUUGGGUUCAAUUCCUCA